GACGAACGCUAGCUACAGGCUUAACACAUGCAAGUCGAGGGACCGGCGCACGGGUGAGUAACACGUACCUAGCCUGCCUUCUACUCGGGGAUAGCCUUUCGAAAGAAAGAUUAAUACCCGACGUAAAGGAUGGGGGUGCGUUCCCUUAGGUUGUCGGUGGGGUAACGGCACAUCAAGCCUUCGAUGGAUAGGGGUUCUGAGAGGAAGGUCCACCGCAUUGGAACUUGGGCACGAUCCAAACUCGUACGGGAGGCAGGAGUGAGGAAGAUUGGUCAAUGUGCGUUAGCCUGAACCAGCCAAGUAGCGUGAAGGAUGUAUGCUUAUAGGUCGUAAACUUCUUUUAUAUAAGAAUAUGUAUUAUAUGAGUAAGGAUCGGCUAACUCCGUGCCAGCAGCCGCGGUAAUUC
rnacentral:rRNA from 1 species